CAAUUUGAAAACAAUAAAUCUGCAGUGAGAAGUAGAAUUCAUCAUACUAAAUAUCAUUUUCCUAAAUUCCUCAUUUCAAUUCUGUUAAAAAGGCCUCUUAUUAUUCGAAUUAAAAUUGUCAAAAUACCGCUUCAAAAGUAGAGCAGAGAAAGAGAGACAAGCAUCAUCCAGUUUUAUCUUUCAAUCUUUUUGAAGCUCUAUAUUUACCUAAUCACUCUCGUGAGAAGGGGGUUGCUUUGCAAAAAGCUUUCUUUGGAGAAAUGCAUUAAAUCCUUCAAGCAAUCAGGGCUAUUUUUGUCUUUCUAUAUUAGACACACCCCAACAAGUAUGGCAGUCUGCUGACAUCUUCAUCAGCCUGUUUCUUGCCUCUUUGUUAUGGCAGCAGAGGGUGAAGCAUGUUCUUCUGCACCCCUGACCAGCCCAAGCAUCUUUUAAAGUUUCUAAUUAAAUCAUGGCUGCUUAUGCCCUUGGAUAUUUGUCAUUUGCAAGGGAAACCAUGGGGCUGAUGUUUGUGUAGGUAUUCCAUAUGUAUUUUGAAAUUUGGGUUUUUUAUUAACACUUGAGAUUAAAAUAAUUUUAAUCCAGACAUCUACCUAACCUGUGGAAAUAAUGCAUGCUCUCCCUUCUUCUGGACUCAACUAUAACUAACCAGCCUGACUGGCUUAAGAUAACCUUUUCUCUUUCUCCUUCUUUUACUCUUCUCCCUUUCAAAAAUAGACCAAUAUGUGACACAACCGUUCUCAUUCUCAUGUUUUCUAUAUUUUUGUAUUGAUGGUUUCUAUUGCACAAUAAGUGUGUAUUGCAGGGUUUGAUGAUGUUUGGAAAAUGGCACAAAAAAAAACAAUAUUGAGAGGCAAGGUCAGGGCAGUCUGUCUCCACAAUUUUCACCAUUGGAGCAGACCUCUCUUCCUUCCCUCAAAUAACCCAGCUUCUUCCAGUUCUUAUAUUUCCUCUUCACCCACCCAGUGCCCUAUCAUUAAAUGGCUUAUCAUUAAAUGGCUAAGUCAUCCCUUUUGAAGGUGUUGUUAAGUGAUAUCUCCUAGGUGUAGUAACAUUUUUAAAAGGACAAUCUUGAAGAAGAAAAGGGAGUGACCUUCAGACACACAUUAUCAUCUCCUCCAACCCUGUCUGAGAAGUCAAUGAUAACUUGGAAACCACUUCUGAAAGUUUGCCAGUCAUUGACAGAGUCCUUUUUACAUCUUCUACUUUCAAAGCUUUUCUACACAGGUCACCCCUUUUGAACUUUCAAACAACCUAAAAGGCAGGUAAAGGAUAAUUAUCACCAGCUUACCAAGAAUGAUGCUAAGUCACAAGAGAUUAAAUGAGUCCCCAAAGAUCACACAGCUGGUUGGUGUCAGCAUAGACACAGCAAUCCUGGCUCUGCAAGCUCUCAAAA
rnacentral:lncRNA from 10 species